rnacentral:lncRNA from 1 species
GGGAACACAAAAUCGACAAAGAAGAAUGCCAAACAAGAUGUUGUAGAACGUGCUUUUACAUAUAUUAUAGGUACUUUUUGGCCAAAGAAUAAUGCUAAUUAUCUGCGUACUUUGAUAAAAAAUCUUGAAAAAAUAAAUAUUUCUUUAGAAAAGAAAAAUAUGACAUUGAAUAUUGAAAACAAAUCCUUAGAAAAUGCAAUCAACAAGCAAGCAUGCGACAUUAGA